GACGAACGCUGGCGGCGUGCCUCAGACAUGCAAGUCGAACGCGAAAGUCCCCUUCGGGGGGCGAGUAGAGUGGCGCACGGGUGAGUAACACGUAGGUAAUCUACCUUUGGAUGGGGAAUAACAACCGGAAACGGUUGCUAAUACCGCAUAAUGCAGCGGCACCUAAUGGUGACAGUUGUUAAAGCGGGGGAUCGAAAGACCUCGCGUCUAAAGAGGAGCCUGCGGCGGAUUAGCUAGUUGGUAAGGUAANGGCUUACCAAGGCUACGAUCCGUAACCGGACCUGAGAGGGCGGUCGGUCACACUGACACUGAAUAACGGGUCAGACUCCUACGGGAGGCAGCAGUCGGGAAUUUUGGGCAAUGGGCGAAAGCCUGACCCAGCAACGCCGCGUGAAGGAUGAAGUAUUUCGGUAUGUAAACUUACGAAAG
rnacentral:rRNA from 1 species